ensembl:processed_transcript Gm8378 predicted gene 8378
GCAGACAGGCAGGCAGGCAGCCUGCCGGGAGUCCUGUUGAAGCAUGCACAGCGCACACCUCUACCCGCACCCACCACCAGGACCCCUCGCCAUCACCUCCUUGAACCGGGAGGAUCCAGAGCCCGGACCGGGGUUCCCAGGGGGACUCUGCUCACCUUGCCUCAACUCAUACCUGGAAGAAGAAAAUAAAAGAACACUGUGUGAAAGGCAAGAUAAAUCGGUGGGCGAAGUUAACCCGAUCACACCAGCAUCGCCUAUUUGAGACUCGCUAUGCUCUCAACAGCCCCGAGGAAUUAUCUCAUGAUUGCAUUAGAGUGGAAAGACACGAAGCUGAGAGGCAAGCAGAACAGAAACUGUGAUAGAAAUUGUCCUAAGCUGAAGCACCUUGCGUGAACCUUGUGGAUGUCUGGUGCCUCUCCACUGCAUCUUGGUGCAGGCAGCACUGGCAUUCUCUGUCCAAAGCAGCUGCCCCUACCCUACACCUGGGUUUUUUGAGCAGCAAUGAGCAGCCAAAAACAAAACGAGCAAACAAAUGAGGCCGGGAGAGAGAGCAUUUGAGCCUACAGUUGGUUCGUGAGAGCAGAGGGGGAGGGGAGCUGGAUGAAUGGCCUCCUCAUGCUCUACCCCACCCCCCACGCCUGUCUGCAGGAAGUUCUGUGUGCCUUCUGCUGAAGAGUUGGUAGCCUGCCUUCAUUGUCAUUAUCGGUGUUCCUGGGGUGAUAAUGCCAGAUGUUUG